UACGUAGGGUGCAAGCGUUAUCCGGAAUUAUUGGGCGUAAAGAGCUCGUAGGCGGUUUGUCGCGUCUGCUGUGAAAACUGGAGGCUCAACCUCCAGCCUGCAGUGGGUACGGGCAGACUAGAGUGCGGUAGGGGAGAUUGGAAUUCCUGGUGUAGCGGUGGAAUGCGCAGAUAUCAGGAGGAACACCAAUAGCGAAGGCAGCUCGCUGGGACGUUACUGACACUGAGAUGCGAAAGCGUGGGGAGCAAACAGG
rnacentral:rRNA from 1 species